rnacentral:rRNA from 1 species
UGACACAGGGAGGUAGUGACAAGAAAUAACAAUACAGGGCUCUUCGAGUCUUGUAAUUGGAAUGAGUACAAUUUACAUCUCUUCACGAGGAUCAAUUGGAGGGCAAGUCUGGUGCCAGCAGCCGCGGUAAUUCCAGCUCCAAUAGCGUAUAUUAAAGUUGUUGCAGUUAAAACGCUCGUAGUCGGAUUUCGGGGCGGGGCCGCCGGUCUGCCGAUGGGUAUGCACUGGCGGGCGCGUCCUUCCUCCCGGAGACGGCUGCUACUCUUAACUGAGCGGUGGUCGGAGACGGGAUGUUUACUUUGAAAAAAUCAGAGUGUUUCAAGCAGGCAGUCGCUCUUGCAUGGAUUAGCAUGGGAUAAUGAAAUAGGACUCUGGUGCUAUUUUGUUGGUUUCGAGCACCGGAGUAAUGAUUAACAGG